GCCGGACCUGACUGCUAUCGGAUUGAUACUAAGCCAUGCGAGUCAUUGUAGCAAUACAAGGCAGACGGCUCAGUAACGCGUAGUCAACCUACCCUAUGGACGGGAAUAACCUCGGGAAACUGAGUAUAAUGCCCGAUAGAACAUUAUGCCUGGAAUGGUUUAUGUUCCAAAUGAUUUAUCGCCGUAGGAUGGGACUGCGGCCUAUCAGUUUGUUGGUGAGGUAAUGGCCCACCAAGACUAUUACAGGUACGGGCUCUGAGAGGAGUAGCCCGGAGAUGGGUACUGAGACACGGACCCAGGCCCUAUGGGGCGCAGCAGGCGAGAAAACUUUGCAAUGUGCGAAAGCACGACAAGGUUAAUCCGAGUGGUUUCUGCUAAAGGAACCUUUUGUUAGUCCUAAAAACACUAACGAAUAAGGGGUGGGCAAGUUCUGGUGUCAGCCGCCGCGGUAAAACCAGCACCUCAAGUGGUCAGGAUGAUUAUUGGGCCUAAAGCAUCCGUAGCCUGCUCUGUAAGUUUUCGGUUAAAUCUGUAUGCUCAACAUACAGGCCGCCGGGAAUACUGCAGGGCUAGGGAGUGGGAGAGGUAGACGGUACUCGGGAGGAAGUGGUAAAAUGCUUUGAUCUCUCGAUGACCACCUGUGGCGAAGGCGGUCUACCAGAACACGUCCGACGGUGAGGGAUGAAAGCUGGGGGAGCAAACCGGAUUAGAUACCCGGGUAGUCCCAGCCGUAAACUAUGCAAACUCAGUGAUGCAUUGGCUUGUGGCCAAUGCAGUGUUGCAGGGAAGCCGUUAAGUUUGCCGCCUGGGAAGUACGUACGCAAGUAUGAAACUUAAAGGAAUUGGCGGGGGAGCACCACAAGGGGUGAAGCCUGCGGUUCAAU
rnacentral:rRNA from 1 species